ACUUGCCCACUCCUCCAGUCCGUUCCUAUCUCCCUCCGGCCCCUCACAUCUCGUCAUUGCGGCGGCGGCGGCGGCAGCGACGACGCCGGAGGGACGACCCGGCGACGAGGACUACCUCUCUCGCGCGUGGAGUACUUCCCUUACCUCUCUCAUGCAGUAGCGACUCGGAGGCGCCGUGCGCGGUGCAAGAUCUGGGCGAGCUCGUCAGGACAAUGACGUUCUCCGGCGUCCCUCUCCACCGUGGAUGGUAUUAUCGUCACGGUGCUGGGAAAGAGGAAGAAGACCAAGAAGGCAAGAAAGGAAAGGAAAACGAGAAGCUCGGGUGAUGGAGGUAAUGCUGGAGAAGGGUUCCUGGCGGUGGGAUCAAUUCUAGGAGGAGGGGAGAUCAUAGUGGAGGAUAUGAAGCCCGUGUGAAUGACAUAGAAGAAGAGGAGGAGCUCAAGGCUACGGAGAAAAAGGACAAUAGUAGAGUAUCAGACUUCAUUCUAGCUGAGAUCAACUUUUGUUUUCACGGGACAUGUGAAUCCUCUCUGAUUUGGUUUUGUCUAAAUUUCACAGUGUGAAACCUGGCCAUGUGAAUCCUGAAGUAAAAAAAUGAUGGUUCUGACUUGAUUGAAUGUUAGUAGUGAUGUACAUAAAGAAUCAGCCUGUACCUAGCUGACCAUGCUAAUUCUCUGUAAAUUUGUGUUAAUCAAAAUUUGCACAUACAUACAAGCAAUAUUUCUUCAAUUAAAGAAUAUUCACCUUACGACAAUUUUUGUUUUAUGCUAUUCUUAAGAUAAAAUUUGUAUCGGUGAUGCUAGCUUUAUGUUUUGUGAAUUUACCAGGCAAAUCAAUAAUUGAAAUUCUGCCAAGAAAUCUAGGGGCAGAAGAAGAUGUAUACUUUAGGUGUACGUGAAUCUUUAAGCCGUUCCUUUCUAGGACAAUUUCUAAGACAAUUUUCCUUUUACCCAGAGGUUUACAAGCUUUGGGUGCCUGCGGCCGGCUCGACGGGUGGCAUCAGCAAGCGCCGGCCGGCCUCGGCACUGCUGCGGGUGGUUAUAUAGUCGGCGGAGCACACUAGUGGGCUUCAACGUCAGCGUACGGUGGCGAGCUAAAUCAAAUUCAUGUCCUGACAUCAAAUUUCGAUACGUAAGGAACACGACGUCGUUGCGAUGCCUCCAGAUGCACCAGCAACAGAACAUGAAGAAUGUCAAUGGCAAGGUGAGCGACAUCUAGCAGAUUGCGGACAGAGGCCACGGAAGGUGACCGGAACCCCAACAUGGCCCUGAAAUCAACCACCAAUGGGCAGGCAGAGACGAGGUGUCUCGCUGACUGCAGCGAGGCAUGGCGGAAUGGGCUACUAUUACACGCUCUAAAAGUGAGGUUUAUAGCAAUUAAAAAGGUGAUUUUAUUCCUGAAUCGUGCUUAACAUUUCUUUAGCAAACAAGCACUAGCAGCCCGUUUUCAGAUGUGCUUCUUGUUGGUUCAUGUAGACAUGCCAAUGAAGCCCUGAUAAAGAGUAGAAAAAAUACAGUUUAUUUGUUUAAUUGUUCUCUUGUGUAGACCAAAAUUAGCGAGUAAAGGUAAUUUGAGUUUGCUUCCAAAUUCUUUCUGCGAGUUUAUCCCAGGAAUAAUGUUUUGUUCCUAUUUGAGUUGCAACAUGUGACUUCUGGAGGCUACUCUUCCAUUUGAUGUUGCUGUUCAACAGCUCUCAAAGGCACAGAGCAAAUCAGUCGGGCUUCUCGAAGAAAACAUAUUUUUGAUAAAUGAUGUGCCAUGCAUCCUUCCGCACACCUAAUCGCCUGCUUAGAACAAAUAAAAUUAGUUGCAUUUGCCUGUAUUGGUGGAGUGUGUAUAGAUGGCAGAAUAGCUCCAGCCUUGCUUUCUACUAACCAGUUUCAUUUUCUUUCAGAAUCAAGUUCCUGCUUUUUUCUCCCUGAUGUGAGUGUAUUGGAGUAUAGGGUUCUCCCUGGAGGGUCUUGUAAUCAGUGAGCUAUCUGAGGCAAUGUAUAGAGUUCCAGUUCUGUUUUUCUUGAGA